CUAAUAAUCUGUACAGUAAUUAUAUAAUUCUGAAACAUUCUUACUCAUGUCCAUUGCAUAAAGAAAAUACAAAGAUAAGAUACUUGCCUGAUGCGCUGCUUACAAUUUGCAACUUAGUUUUAUCUUUUAUGUAAUCACCUAUCAGUAAUAAGAUCAUUUUACUGAUUAGAAUAACAUAUCACAACACAUAAUACUGCCUAUUGCAGUCAGCACAUAACCUAAUCACCUUGUCACACAUAUCCCACAGUUAUUGAAUCACAAACAAUCAUUUAAUAAAGU
rnacentral:lncRNA from 1 species